GGGGACGACAGGUUUCGACGGAAAGCUCUUUUAAAAAACGCAAGCAGACUUUGAUUUAUAGUCUUUAAACAAAAUCAAAAAAAUAAGCGUCAACAAAAGUUACGCUCCGGCUUUCGCAGUAGCUUAAGCUGGUGUUCUCUAGUUUGCUUCUCGACCAGACUAGAAGGGCAUAAACCAGUCGAGAUAUGAUAUUUGCCCCAGGGCUUAAAAGGUAAAUAUCUAAAAAUUUUAAGCCACUUCCUAAACCAUCUUGUUGGCUAGUAAGGUUUAGGAGAAAAGCCCAAGUCAACUAAGCUUGUAGAAGUUUUUUAAGAAGUUUUUUCGGACGAGGGUUCAAUUCCCUCCGUCUCCACCA
rnacentral:tmRNA from 1 species